rnacentral:rRNA from 1 species
UACGAAGGGUGCUAGCGUUGCUCGGAAUCACUGGGCGUAAAGCGCACGUAGGCGGCUUGCUAAGUCAGGGGUGAAAUCCUGGAGCUCAACUCCAGAACUGCCUUUGAUACUGGCGAUCUCGAGUCCGGGAGAGGUGAGUGGAACUGCGAGUGUAGAGGUGAAAUUCGUAGAUAUUCGCAAGAACACCAGUGGCGAAGGCGGCUCACUGGCCCGGUACUGACGCUGAGGUGCGAAAGCGUGGGGAGCAAACAGG